AAUUACAACAGGGAAAAGGAACCCUGAGGAAGCCCAAGAAGGGAAAAAAAGACUUUGUUGACACUGAGGGAGUAGAGAAUUUCAGGAGAAAGAAAUUGAUCAACAGUAUCAGAUGCAUUAGCAAUGUGAAGCAAGACAUGAACUAAAAAGCAUCUCUGAGAUUUGGCAAACAGCAUUUGAAAUUAGGUUUAGUGAGAGAAGGAAAACAAGACAGCUUAAUGCCUGCUUCUUGGAAGAGAUGAUGUCAUGCUAACAGAUGACAGGGUGAGAGAAGGCUCCAGCUUGUCUGUUGCUUAUUUAUCCUACCUAAGGGGAGGAUCUCCACACAGGAAAAGCAGAACCAAUGUCCGCGACACAGAGGUGAUUAAUUGGUCUCUGAUUAAGAAACCCAGCACUUGCUGCCCUGGAUCAAGCCUUUGUGCUCACAUUUAAUCCUCCAUAGCCUUUCUGGUUCUGCAAGUGGUGGACAUCAUAUAACAGCAUUUUUCAAUCUUCAUAUCUGUGGGAUGGCGAUUAAUACAGAUAACCAUGACUGGUCAAGGUGUAGAAAAUAAGAGACCAUGGAAAGCUCAGCCCUGAUUGGAGCAUCUGUAUCACACUCCUCCUCCCAAAGCUCAGGAACAUUGUGGAAGAGACAGAAGAAAGAGUGUAAGAGCAAGAGGUGAUGGACAACUGCAACAAUACAGUGUCUUUAGAAACAUCAGGGCAACUGCACAGAUGAAGUGCAGCAGUUAUGAUAGCGUGUACAAGACCUGUUCUGUAGGAUGAUGUCAUCACGCAGGUGUGGGCAGGUACAAGAUAGAACGAGGCUUGUCAUUGGAAGAGAAAGAAAGAUGGGCGGGAGAAAAGUUUUAGAGUGAGAGAAGACUGGGAGGAGGCAGAAGAAGCAGGGAUAGAACAUGGAGGCUGAUGUUAAGAUUCCUCUCUGCACAUUUACAGGUUGUUAUGAAGAUUUUAAAGGGACGGAUGUGUACAGGGCUUUGUAUAUUUAGGUGGGGAAUUAUAUCUUAUUAAUUGGAUCAGAGGUUAUUGUGAGUUUGUUCUUUCAUGUGGCGAUUUAAGUUUAAGAGAGUAUGUGGCAGCCGGAGACACUAAGCCACAAUGGAAUUGGGAUGUAUGUUUCUGGCAUGGUGGCAACUUGCCUCGUGAACUAGAUGGGUAGAGAGAUUGUUGCCAGGCUCAGA